UCGAGAAUCUUCCCCAAUGGCCGAAAGGCUGAGGGAGCGACGCCGCGUGCAGGACGAAGGGCUUCGGUCUGUAAACUGCUUUUCUCAGGGACGAACGAUGACGGUACCUGAGGAAUAAGAGGUUGCUAACUCUGUGCCAGCAGCAGCGGUAAUACAGAGACCUCAAACGUUGUCCGGAUUUACUGGGCGUAAAGGGUCCGUAGGCGGCUUUGUGCGUCGGUGGUCAAAUCUUGGAGCUCAACUCCAAGACCGCCAUCGAUACGGCAAGGCUCGAGCAUGGGAGAGGUACGCGGAAUUGCCGGUGUAGUAGUAAAAUGCGUUAAUAUCGGCAAGAACACCAAAUGCGAAGGCAGCGUACUGGAACAUUGCUGACGCUCAGGGACGAAAGCGUGGGGAGCGAAA
rnacentral:rRNA from 1 species